CUGGCUUUGAACUCAUGAUCCGCCUGCCUCUACCUCUCAAGCUGCUGGGAUUAUAGGCAUGUGCCUCCGUGCCUGGCCUAUGUUAUUAUUUUUUGAAUAGCCUUUGAAGCACUUUUUGGUAAAAUCUUAUGUCUUCAUUUUUCUUGUUCUUUGUUAACAACAAUUGUUACUAAUAAAGUGGGUAUAAAAGCAUGCUGUAAUAAAAUUGCUACUUUUGCACUUUAGAGCAGUUAUUAAAAAAAAUACAGAUUACUUGAACACAAGGCAGUACUGUCACAGUCUACCUGAUAAUUGAGGCGAUUACUACAUUGUUGGUGAAUGAUGAAUAUAGAGAAUCUGUGCACUAGAAGUAACUAGAGGUCAGAUGUUCUGGUGACAAGAGGGAAGGCCUAGUUCACCUGGUGUGGAAGCUUGUCUCUAACCCCUACUAAAACGUAUGGCCUCAAGGGAGUCAUUGAACCCUCUAUCUUCUUGUUUUGAAAACUAAGAAAGUGGUGGGAAAUCUUGGAAGGUGAUUUUGAGGAUAAAGAUAAGAUAUAGAAAAUAUUUGCCACAUUGUAAAUACUUGAUAAUAGUAGCUAUUAUUUCCCCCUCUCAACUUGUUUCAUUUUUUAUUCUUUUCUUUUUCAUUUCCCUUCCUCCUCUGUCUAUCCUUUAUUGCUUGCUAAUAGCCUAAUCUAAGGCAGGUGGUAUAUACCAAGGAGAUCUUGGUGAUGGCCCAGAGAGUUGACUGAAUGAUCCUGGCAUUACUUAUUAGGUAAAGCAUAAGAUCAAUGAAGCAAGUUGUUAGAAUCAGAAAGGGUGAAUCAUGAUGGAGUUGAAAUAAGGAAAAGGACAGAAAGCAAAACAAAUGAACAGAAGUGUGUCCCUGAGAGAGAGAAGGUGGCUACAUAUAGGGAGCGAGGUGAAGAGGCAGCACCUGCCCACAUUGGGAAACUCUAGAGACAUCAGCUCCAUAUUCCUUGGAUAGCUGAUACUUUCUAGAGUUCCUUGACUCAGUGAGACAUGUCUAAUUGCAAAAAAGAUAAGAUUAAUGAGGGAACUGUUAGAAGAUUUUGCUCAUGUGGAAUAACAGAAUUUAAGUGGCUGAGACGAGUUAGAAAAUGGUGGACUGGGUUUCUUCAUUGUUAGUGAACCUAUGAGUUAAUAGAGCUGGUGUGCGGAGAUGAGUUGACUUGCUGCAGUGGGCAGAUGGGUGCAGAGUCAUUAUGGUGUCUGAGCUGAUGAAUCACUUGGUGAAAGCAGUGUUAAGGACAUUAAUCACAUAGUAAUGUGUGGGACAAUUUGAAAGGACAAAAUGGAAGGCUGGAAGAUCAUUGAAGAGGCCGUUUUGGGAACCCAGGUGCAAGGAUGAAACGGGGAGGGGCAAAUCAAGAGAGAUGCCUGUGAUGGGCCCACCAGCAUCCAAGUGGGGAAGCAGGGAGAGGACUCCGGGAUGAGCCUGGAGGCUUGGUGACUCCCUCAGAAUACCUGGAAGAGUGCCCAAGCAGAAUGACUGUGCACCUUGUUUGUACAAGUAAUGACACCAUCUGCCUGGCACAACCAUAAGGCACAAACUGACGAAUGAAUUAACCAUGCUAAUAAGAGUAACCACCUGUGGACUGAUGGAAUUAAUCGGAAGCACAUGGGUGUGCAGGUGUAUCAAAUUCAUCUCAGAAAAACCAGACCACUGAAUGAUGCAGCCCACGCACCUGAGGCCCGUAAAAGGAGGGGCACCCUCAGACUGGACAUGGUGGCACCCUGAUCCCAUCACCUGGUCACUGGUUGUGAGCUUUACCCAGGAAAAUUGCCACAGUGAUGAACUUCUGAUUUCCUGUCCUGUUGGGCUUCAGCAGAACAUGGUUCCUUCUGCCUGUGACGACCCUGUAUGGCCCACUCCAAGCUGACAUCUCAAGCUGACAUUCUGGAACUGCCAUCCAUCUGGACCUUGGCCUAGAAUAAGUUCUUGCGUGUUGAACAAGCUCUUGAUUGGUUCCUAAUCUUAUUUGAUCACCUACAGGGACCUUGCGUUAGAAUCUGCCCUCUGCCUUCCCUCUCAGUUCUGAAUCCCUGUGGCUGUCUUAACCCUUUUUUAGUCUUUCUGUGACACACACACACACACACACACACACAGUGUGAUGUGUGACUUGAGUGUAAAACUAUUAGAAAUUAAGAUUGGAACUUGCAUUUGCCCAACUUUUGAUACCAGAUAACCCAUGAAUAUUCAGUAAACUGCCACUUAUGAAAAUGGGAGAGCACGUGAAUUUACUGUCAUUGUUGAAUUCUGACAUUGUGGAAAGACCCAGACAUGCUUGGUCUAUGCUAGUGAUAGCAUGCUCCCAACAGGCUAAAUAAAUAAAUAUAAUUAA